AACCAUGAAUAUGGUUGGAUUAUUCCUGCUGAAUUGGGCCUUUCUGAAAUUAAAGAAAAGAUGGAUAAAGGACAAAUCCAAUCAGCAGUGCUAGGUCCACUCUUGGGUAUUCCUCCUGAGCUUGGCCAUUUGAUGAUUGAGGAGUAUUUAGGAGACAUUGAAGAUCCUACAGAACUUAGGGUUCAGUACCAGGAAAUGAUGGGGGACUUGAUGUUUGCUGUUCCUGCCCUCAAGGUGGCCAAAUAUCAA